GACGAACGCUGGCGGCGUGCCUAAUACAUGCAAGUCGAACGAACUCUGGUAUUGAUUGGUGCUUGCAUCAUGAUUUACAUUUGAGUGAGUGGCGAACUGGUGAGCAACACGUGGGAAACCUGCCCAGAAGCGGGGGAUAACACCUGGAAACAGAUGCUAAUACCGCAUAACAACUUGGACCGCAUGGUCCGAGCUUGAAAGAUGGCUUCGGCUAUCACUUUUGGAUGGUCCCGCGGCGUAUUAGCUAGAUGGUGGGGUAACGGCUCACCAUGGCAAUGAUACGUAGCCGACCUGAGAGGGUAAUCGGCCACAUUGGGACUGAGACACGGCCCAAACUCCUACGGGAGGCAGCAGUAGGGAAUCUUCCACAAUGGACGAAAGUCUGAUGGAGCAACGCCGCGUGAGUGAAGAAGGGUUUCGGCUUGUAAAACUCUGUUGUUAAAGAAGAACAUAUCUGAGAGUAACUGUUCAGGUAUUGACGGUAUUUAACCAGAAAGCCACGGCUAACUACGUGCAGCAGCCGCGGUAAUACGUAGGUGGCAAGCGUUGUCCGGAUUUAUUGGGCGUAAAGCGAGCGCAGGCGGUUUUUUAAGUCUGAUGUGAAAGCCUUCGGCUCAACCGAAGAAGUGCAUCGGAAACUGGGAAACUUGAGUGCAGAAGAGGACAGUGGAACUCCAUGUGUAGCGGUGAAAUGCGUAGAUAUAUGGAAGAACACCAGUGGCGAAGGCGGCUGUCUGGUCUGUAACUGACGCUGAGGCUCGAAAGUAUGGGUAGCAAACAGGAUUAGAUACCCUGGUAGUCCAUACCGUAAACGAUGAAUGCUAAGUGUUGGAGGGUUUCCGCCCUUCAGUGCUGCAGCUAACGCAUUAAGCAUUCCGCCUGGGGAGUACGGCCGCAAGGCUGAAACUCAAAGGAAUUGACGGGGGCCCGCACAAGCGGUGGAGCAUGUGGUUUAAUUCGAAGCUACGCGAAGAACCUUACCAGGUCUUGACAUACUAUGCAAAUCUAAGAGAUUAGACGUUCCCUUCGGGGACAUGGAUACAGGUGGUGCAUGGUUGUCGUCAGCUCGUGUCGUGAGAUGUUGGGUUAAGUCCCGCAACGAGCGCAACCCUUAUUAUCAGUUGCCAGCAUUAAGUUGGGCACUCUGGUGAGACUGCCGGUGACAAACCGGAGGAAGGUGGGGAUGACGUCAAAUCAUCAUGCCCCUUAUGACCUGGGCUACACACGUGCUACAAUGGAUGGUACAACGAGUUGCGAACUCGCGAGAGUAAGCUAAUCUCUUAAAGCCAUUCUCAGUUCGGAUUGUAGGCUGCAACUCGCCUACAUGAAGUCGGAAUCGCUAGUAAUCGCGGAUCAGCAUGCCGCGGUGAAUACGUUCCCGGGCCUUGUACACACCGCCCGUCACACCAUGAGAGUUUGUAACACCCAAAGUCGGUGGGGUAACCUUUUAGGAACCAGCCGCCUAAGGUGGGACAGAUGAUUAGGGUG
rnacentral:rRNA from 2 species